rnacentral:sRNA from 1 species
CUACAAGAACAACAAAUGAACUUUGUACCAGUGACAAUCAUGAUAAUGAUGUUGAUGAUGUAGAGAAAGAUAAUGAUGAAGUAGCUGUUGUGAUCUUGAAUAGCAGCAGAUUGAUGUAUCAUCAAGAAACUGAUGCAAGAUCCCAGAGAAACUAAUGAAUGAAUGAAUGAAUGAUCACAGCGUGCUUUCGAUGAAAGAUCAUCAUCCUGAAAUUGAUGUAAAGCUAUCGAUUGAUCCCCUUGAUCACUUUGAGAAAGCUAUCAUAAAUUGAUCGUCGAAGAAUGAUCAUACUGAUCAAAACUGAUUUAAAGGAGUUGUUGCUCUUGUCCGAUGUCUCAAUGUCCAUGCCUGAUGGAUAAAUGAUCUCUAUAAAGUUUCAGCCAAUCAAGAGGCAUAAUUGCAAAAGAUAAAUAGAAAAAAGAAACUGUUCUGGAGUCCAAACAAAGGCAGAUAGAAAGGUGGGAAAAGCCGUUGUUGGUCUACUGAUAAGCCCUCUCCACUUUGGCGGCGUGCAUUGAACUAAUUUGUUCGUUGUUCUUCUUAUUGUUGCUGUUGUUGUUGACUGGUUUUCUUGGUAGGUUUGUAUUUUUUUUUUGUUUUUUUUUGUAUAAUACUCGUACCUCUCUGUAUAUUUAUUUAAAGCGCAAAUGUUUUAGAUACGACACAAAUGUUGCUGCGAGAGAGAGACGAGUGUCGGAGGCAGAGCGGGUAAAAAGAGAGCAGAGGCUAACAAAGUAAACUACAACAACUCCAACAACAAUUACAACAACGAGCAAAAGGCAAACUUGCCUAUCAGCCCCUGCUAAUGUUGUAGUCGUUGUUGUAGUAUUAUUCAGUGCGUGUGCUCAGCAUUUAACUAAACUGGCACACACGCACACCCAAACAGCACUCAGCAACACUCACCGACAUUCACCAACACUCAACACACAGCACACACUGAGGCACAGUCAGGGCCCGUCGGCAUGUGUGCUUAUAUAAUCGUCUAAUGGCUUUGUUUUUUUAAGAAACCGAAAUUACAAUUUCCGCUUGUCGCUUGCCGCUUGCCGCUGGCUGCCCUGGCUCGGGCUCUGGCCCCCACUCUCUUUCUCGCGCUGGGUAAGUGUUAAGCAUGUGACUCAAAAAUUGAACAUUAUAUGUACCGCCGCCGCCACCACCACCACCACACAUAUGUACAUGUAUGUACCCAUCCACCCGGCCGUACCACAAAGACGGCCCCAUGUACAGAGGUGGCAUCACAUGUCGUUUAUAGUUUGGCCUUUAAAUGGGCCUAUCGUGGGCAUUUUGAUAAGCCGUAGAUUGAGCGCGUGCUUUGUCUAGGCCCUGGGCCUCUCCUCCACCUCUUUGCCCCCUGUGCGUCCCUCGAUGCGGGACAGGUGUGUGUGUUGUGUGUAAACUUUCGGAAUUCCAGAAAUUCUUGCGUCAAGUAGCCGCCCCGCAAGCCUUAUCAUUCAGACGAUCGUCCACUGGGAUCGCAGACCUUCGGGUAGGUGGUUGGGGGGACCCUGGUGGUGCGAUGAGUCGAGAUCUUGUCAAUGGAUUGAUUGGAUUGAUUAUAAGCGAUCAUAAUUACACCUGGCGCCUGCCUGCUGAAUUCAAGGAAUCGAUUGCCAAUCAAAAAAAAAGGUGCAAAAUCGCAGGCCAAAAUGACGCAGGCUUCAGUGAUAGCUCACAGACACUGCCUCUUGAUCGAAGCAAAAUCGAAUGCUUAACUUCCAGGCAUCCUCCUCAUAUCAUACCUCUUUUGGGGGGAGCUCCUAGCCAAUUCACUUCUAUCUACAGCACUUCUGUUGGAUUUUGUAGAAAGUUGAAGGGAAUUCCAUCAAUUCCAAACUACUUUAGACGAUUUCCAGGUAGCUGUAAUAAAACUUAUAUGACAUUUUCUAUGCCCACGAUCGCCGCCAGCUAAUUCCAGUUCCAAUUCCAAUUCCAUCUCCAGCUAGCUUUGGGGUCUGUCCAAUGGUCCCAUGUGGCAUUUGAUAUGCAUGUCAUACGACAUGCCACUCCUAUUCCUCACACUACCCGCCCCCCCCUCCCAACCACCAGCGAUCCUCAUCCAUAUAAAUAACAUGUAAGGCCUAUGGAAUUUCCUAUAAAUAAGUUCAUGACGAAUAUAACAAAAAUUCCCUAUCCAACCUAGGCCGCUAACCCCCCUUCCCCGUCACCAUCCCCCCUUACCUACCAUACACCCCUCCACUACGACAAUGCUAUGUUUUUGCUUUUUUGUGUGUGUUUUCGCUGUAAAUGACCUCGUUCACAUAAAGUUCAGAAAUUCCAUUUACAAACUUGUAAUUGAAAAAAUCCACACACUAGAGCGGGAUAGAGCGAGUGACUGGGCAGCUGGAGGGACAGAGAUGGGACGAGAGACAAAGUCAAACACGUUGGAAUUUGUUUUUUUUACCGUUCAAUGACGAAUUUUUGUAGAGUUCGAUGUGUGUUCGUGUGUGUGUGUGUGUGUGUGUGUUUACGAAAAAGAACGCCACUAGCUACACGCACACGCAAACACAUUCCAAAAAAGACACUUACGAAAGCCACAAAAAACAUUUUAUUGUUCGUAGAUUACAACAUAAAAAAUACAAAAAAUGUGGAAGAAGGCAGGGUAGAAGGAGCAGGCGAAUAGUAUGAAUGAGCAGGAGAAUGAGAUGAAUGAGAUGAAUGAGAAGAAUUGUAAGAAGUGGGCGCAGAAGUACAUACAUAUGUACAUACAUAUAGGAAAAAUGAGGAUUGGUAUAUGGCAAAAUAGCAGAAGAACGGAAUAUUAGUAGAAUAGUAGUAGACAAUCAAAUCCUCUUCCACGCAGCAAAAGUAGCUCACAGCACCGAGAUACAACAGCUACAGAUACAGAUACAGAUACUUUUCUUGCCGGCUUGGAUCGGUUCAAAAGAUGUAGAUGGAGAGAGGGGUGGGGUGGGGGUCUGCGGCAUGGGCUGGGGCUGGGGCUGGGGCAGGGGCCAGUGUCAGUUUGUUUGUGGAAUGCCGUUUUGUAAGUUUCUUAUGCAUGCGAGUCAAACAUCAUGGAAUGGAGCAGCAACGAGUACAUAGUUUGGUUCGUUUUAGUAUAAAAAAAACUUUCUAGCACACCGAUACGACACACAGCCACAGAUGCAGAUACAGCACACACACACGAACACACACAUACACGAACACUAACACCCGACGUACAACUUUUUCGAACUGCGCAGGCGCUGCCGCUGCGCUGCUUCUGCCGUAGCCGCUGCCUCUGCCUCUGCCGCAGCCGCUGUCGCUGCUCUGCCUUGGCCGCUGCCAAAGACGCAAGCAGGCAGGCAACGAAAGAUCGCGUAAAAGAAAAGACAAAUUUUCAUUCAGUAAAUUUAGCUGCAGCGCGAUGGUCGUGUUCGCUCCGCGUUGUACGCUUCGGAGCAGCCUGCAGCAAAGUAAAAAAGAAACUACUCUCGAACGGAUGUUAAAAGUAUUAAACAAAUAAAAUAGAGAGAUAGUGUGAAAAGUAAAUAUUAAAAUGCAACAAAGUAUACGGUAGAGGAAGAACAAUGGAGUCCCUCGAAGCUUGGAGACUGGUUCCCCUUGGACACGGCGGCCCCAGACAGACAGACAGCGGGGCUGGCUACGCCACACCGAAACUUGUGCGACCGCAUUCCAGAAAGUUCAAAUAACGAAAUGUUGAGGAGGAGCAAAGCGAAGCGGAGAGCCAGGCAAAGAGGAAAGUCUGCUGCGGCGGCGGCAUCGUGGAAAAAUUAAACUUAAACUCGACUCGUGUCCCUGUAGCUGUACUCGUAUGUGUGUGUGUGCUUUUUUUUUUUUUUUUUGUUUGUAUGAGUGUGUAGUCUGGAAUGCGGUUCCGUUCCUGUGCGAAGAAUUAAGCCAAAUAGAACUCACGUUUGCAAAAAGCAGCAAGAAAAAUUUCUCAAAAACUGGUUUUCAGCCAAAGACUUUGUGUCGUCGUUGGUUCCAUUGACAUCCCAGGAGCCGCUGCCGCUGCCCCUGCUGCUGCUGAUUCUAACCUCUAAGCCAGGGUUAGGCCACAUGGUUCCGCAGGCCCUGCCCCGCAGACGACGAUUUCAUUCCAUAAAAAUGUGCUAUAAAAAACUAACGGUUAAUUCUACGGUCUGCUGAAGUUCGUGUGUGGCUGGUGGAAAAAAAGAG